GUGUGUGUGUGUGGCAAGAAAAAAAACAGGAAACAAUCUAAUUGCCCAUCAAUAGAGGAGCCUAAAUAAAUUAUGGUAUAUGAAUACAAUGCAAUAUUAUCAGUCUUUAAAACGUAGAUAUAUACGUGCUGAUACAGGAAAUCUCCAAAAUGUGAUGAAUUUAAAAAAUUGCAGUAUUAUAUAUAUAUAUAUAUAUAUAUAUAUAUAUAUAUAUAUAUGUAUAUGUGUAUAUAUAUGUAUGUAUAUAUAUUUGUGUGUAUAUCUACAUCUACCUUUCAAGAGAAGGAUCCAAUUUGUGUGCGUGUGUAUAGAAAAUUCCUGGAGGGUAGUGCUCGCUUUGGCAGCACAUAUACUAGAAAAUUCCUGAAGGGUAAACAAGAAUUGUUAAUGGUGGAUCAGGCUGGGGAGGAAAGUUUCUGAGUUUCUUCGCUUUUCAUUUUUAGCAUUCCUGUGUUAAGCUGUUUGAAUAUUUUUCAGUGCGUAUAUACCUUAAUAAUUACAAAUAAAAUUUGAGAAGCAGUGUGCCUAAACCUUUUGGGUUAGGAAAAGCCACAGGAGAAAACAGAAAGGGAGGAAGAAAGGGAAAACACUUUUUUUUCUCUUUGUUUCCAUGAAGGCAUAAAGUGCUUUGAGCAGUGCCUGGCUUAAAGUAAGCUCAAUAUUGGUUUUCCUCUUACCUGUCUCACUACUUCUCAGGCUCUUUGGCAGUCUCUUCCCCUUCUAAAUGACCUCUAAUUUUAAAGUUCUUCAAUUUUUGGCCAGUGGGGAGGACCUUGUCUGUUCCCGUGGCUUUAAAUAACAUCUGUGUAUUGACAACUCACUAAUUGAAAUUCAAGCCCUGACCUAACCUCAGUAUUUCAGACUCAUUUGUCUACUUGCUGACUUGACAUCUCCCUUUGAAUGCACAUCUUAAAUUUAAUAUUUCCCCAGAAAACCUCUCUUGAUUCCAUUCCUUCCCCAAACUUCUUCCUAUCUUCUCCAUAUCAAUAAGCAGCAGCACCACCAACUUCAAAAGAGGGUGGCUUUCAUUCAUCCCCUCUCUUUCACCUCCCAUAUCUGAACCAACAGCAAAUCUUGUUAUUUUUACCCUCAAACACAUCUGGAAUCUGUCUACUCUCCGGCUGUAAUGCUUCCUCCCUAGCCCAGGACACCAGGAUCCUUCCUCAGAAUUACUACACGCUACUAGUACUCUAAUCUUUCAUGCCUCUGUUCCAUUUUUGCUCCUUACAAAUCUCUUCACACGGUUGCCGAAGAGAUUUAAAAAUACGUGUAUAUAAAUCAGAUCGUGUCACACCCCCGCUCUAUCAUUUAAAUGCUUUCAACCCCAGAAACAGAAACCCCAGCUAAUGGAAACUUAAACCAUAAGGAAAGUUAUUUUCUCUUUAACGAUAGAGGAUGGAGAUGGGUGUUCUCAGGGUUGGUUUAGCAGUUUGGCGACGUCAUCAAGGAUCCAGUUCUUUCUAUUCUUUUCCACCAUCCUAAGUCUGUUGACCCUCAUCCCCAGGCCUGUCAUGGUGGCAGGAUGGCUGCCACAGCUCCGUAUGUCACAUCGAAACACGACAACAGCCAAAGCAGGAAGAGGGAGGAGGCAAACAGCUUUACUUACUUGUGGCUCUACUAUGAGACAUAAAAAUGUUUCUCAGGAGCGCCUGGGUGGCUCGGUCGGUUAAGCGUCGGACUUCGGCUCAGGUCACGAUCUCACGGUCCGUGAGUUCGAGCCCCGCGUCGGGCCCUGUGCUGACCGCUCGGAGCCUGGAGCCGGCUUCGGAUUCUGUGUCUCCCUCUCUCUCUGCCCCUCCCCUGCUCGUGCUCUGUCUCUCUCUGUCUCAAAAAUAAAUACAAACAUUAAAAUUAAAAAAAUAUAUUUCUCAGAAGCUUCCAGUGACUUCCCCUUAUAGCUCAUUGUCCCGAACUGGUUAAAUAAAUGAUUCAUUCCCCAGAGCUAGAUGCAUUGCCACCCAAGCAAAACCGGUGCUCCAGUAGCAAGGAAGAGGGCUUAUGACUAUUAGGUAGCCACAUUGUCUGCUAUAACUUUGAGUUCCCAUGUAAUCUAAUGCCGGCUACCUCUUCGGUGUCACUUCUUAACCCCCUCUGCCCCCCGCCCAGAUCUCUCUUAGUAUGUUCAUUGGCCUCCUUUCAGUUUCUCAAACAUAUCCAUCCCCUCCCUGACUCACGGCCCUUUACAUUUGUUGCUCCCAGCACUGGGAUAUUUUUCUCUGGUACUUAGAAGUCCGGCUAGUGGUCAUGCUUAUUUUUUUAGAUCGUAGAUCAAGUGUCAUGCCCUUAGAGAGGCCGAUCUGUCCACUGGGUCUAAAUUAGGUUCUUAUUCCCUCUCUAACCUAUGACCUUCUCUUUCACCCCCAACUCCCAAAUUCCUUCCUAGUAUCUAUCACCCCGUUAUUAUCUUAGGUUCACUUAUUUAUUAUAUGUCUUCUCCCACCAGAAUAUAAAGCCCACAAAGGCAUAGAUUGUUUCUUGUUCACCCUCGUACCUCCACUGUCCAGAACCGUACCUAGCAUACAGUAGGUAUUCAAUACAUAUGUGUCGAUAGAUGCAUGAGGAAUGAAUGAAUGGAAACAAGGAUAAGAGGAAAGGUGUAGGACUAGAUAAAGACAGAAGAGGGAGAAAAGGAAUGAAAAGAGGUAUAUUUUGGUAGGAGAAGAAGGGGUGGAUAUAAUGACAUCAUCUUAGCCAUUGCUGACUUUGGGGCCUAAAUCCCGUGCCCAGGUUCAGUGGAUACAUUUUACAAGUCUUGGAACUAAAUCAAACUCUUUUCUACUUUCUUAUAUUGGAUAAUAAAUAUAAUUCCUUGGAAACUGCUUUGGGUCAUAAUUAGCCUACUGCCCCCACGGACAUAGAACUAGUCAGCUGAAACUCAGAGGAGCAAAUUACUUUUUCUUGAAAAGAAAUUACUUUAAAAUGGAAGGAUAUGGACUGUGUAGUCCAGAAUGCCCAACGGCAGUCCUUGUGGAAGAGUUUGUGUGGUAUUAAAUAAGUACUGAGCCUACAAAAGCCAGUGAAUCAAAGUAGAAGCCAAAGAGUAACAUAUGAGUCUGACUCAUAAACUCUAAUAAAGUUUGUGAAAUAGAUCCCAUGUGUGAGUUCAGAUCCCAAAUGACUUCAAGAUUGUUAAAAGCUGUGCAGUUGCAAUUUAAUUCCUUCCUUGAAAGCUUUCCUGAUACUUGGGGAAAUUCUGGAGAAGUAUGGGCACUUAAAGAAAUACUCAAAUUGCCAGUUCCUGUUUUGUAUAUUUACACAAAGGCCGCUAUUCUGGCGCCCCAGUGCUGCUUUUUUCUUUAAGUGGAUUUCUCUCUGAAUCAUUUGGAAAGUAUUAUACACCUCGAUGAUUUUCUUAUCUGCAUUUGAGGGAAAUGGAUCCACCCUGUUAUCUCUUUAAGUGUAUGUAAGAGUUCUACUGUAGGGCAUUUCAUUGUGAUGCCGCUAAGAAUCCUCUUGACGGGUUAUUUUAGGACAGAAGGAAGCUCACAUAAGGAUGUGAUUGCUUUUCUUAUUUAAGUGUAUAUUAAAUAUUUUUAAAUUGUUAUUAUGAAUAUUUUUAUACACAAAAAUAUAGAAUUAUGAUAACCACUAUAUAUCCAUCACCCAGAUUAACAGUUGUGAAAAUUUUGCUACAUUUGCUGUAUCCAUUCCUUUUUUUCAUUUGCUGGAGUAUUUGAAAAUAAAAUCUUAGACAUCA